UACGUAGGGUGCAAGCGUUAAUCGGAAUUACUGGGCGUAAAGCGUGCGCAGGCGGUUAUGUAAGACAGGUGUGAAAUCCCCGGGCUUAACCUGGGAACUGCAUUUGUGACUGCAUAGCUAGAGUAUGGUAGAGGGGGAUGGAAUUCCGCGUGUAGCAGUGAAAUGCGUAGAUAUGCGGAGGAACACCGAUGGCGAAGGCAAUCCCCUGGACCUGUACUGACGCUCAUGCACGAAAGCGUGGGGAGCAAACAGG
rnacentral:rRNA from 1 species